UCCAGAGUCAACUUAACAAAUCCAUGCUAAUGAGGGGAAAACCACAACUGAGCCAUAGCAAAGAAAAUGUUACCAACUUAACCAAACUGCUGCAAAAGAAAGAAGUGAAAUGUAAGAGAAUACACUGACACAACCAAUUUAACUCAAACUAGUCCAGACUAACUUGAUAUGCACAGGCGACCGUGCCACUCUGUGAGACACUAAUCACAACAUUCAUGAGUCAGAGGACAAAACAUGUCAGAGUAAACCAAACCACAAAGCACCAAAACACCCCAUUCACAGAGAGACCAAACAGGAUCCAAAUUAAAAAAGCCAAAUCAAACACGCCCAAUUUAAAGGAGCCAUUUGUAAGUUUUGCUUUUGCUACAUAACCAGUGUUAGCAACUGUCUACGUCCUUACCAGUCGGGAAUAAGUCAAGUCGAGUUUAGCAUCAAACUUCAUUCCUUUACUUACCAAGAGUAGCAGCAGUGGAAAUCAACGCCCUUGUUUUGCUUCUAUUUCUUUCACUUCUUCUACUGAAGUUAGCAUGCUAACCAGCUAGCCCCAGCCCUUUCUUGUCACUUUCUGAUAGUGAGUCACUGUAGUGUCCAGUCCGCCCUGUAGCGCUGCUCAGAGGACACAUGAUGACCUCUUGUCUGGUAAAUAUAAUGAUGGCUGAAGGUUUCGGCAAAUACUGCUCCAACAUCCCACAAACCCCUGCUCCUCUAAUAGGAAAUGCUACUCAGGCCUUCACCCAGGGCUGAAGCCAGCUAAGUUUAAGAGAAAUACGAUAUGUCACCGCUGAAACAGCUACACAGGAGCCUUUGUCCUCAACAAAGAACAGCGCACGGUGGAGUUUGCACGUUUGUGCGACAGGUGUCUGGAUGGCGAAGCUACACCUAGAUCGGAAGAACCAGUGUUGCAGACAUAUAAGAAGUCACCUCUUCAUGCUGUCUUUGGGCUCUCUCUCGGCUCCUCAGCAUAAUCUGAUGUUGUGUCCAUGAAGACAAGAAUUAACACUUCACUCAUCCCAUUCAUGCUCACAUGUACCCACAUCACUGAUGAUACUGAUGUCCAAACCUCACAACUUACCUCAGUUGUUUUUUGUUCAAUGCAUCAUAUUGUUGUUAAUAAAUGUACUA